GGAGGGUUCGCAUAGCGGUCGAGUGCGCUCGCUUGGAAAGCGAGUAUACCGCAAGGUAUCAUGAGUUCGAAUCUCAUACCCUCCG
rnacentral:tRNA from 1 species